rnacentral:pre_miRNA from 10 species
CUGCCGAAACAGGAUAUUGCCGUCGUUGUCUGGAAGACUUGUGAUUUUGUUGCUGUAUCUUUGCAUCCCAGCAACGAGUCCACGUCUUCAAAGAUGGCGACUUGGCGAAGACACCAACGACACC